rnacentral:rRNA from 1 species
UACGGAGGGUGCAAGCGUUAUCCGGAUUCACUGGGUUUAAAGGGAGCGUAGGUGGGCAGGUAAGUCAGUGGUGAAAUCUCUGGGCUUAACCCGGAAACUGCCAUUGAUACUAUCUGUCUUGAAUUUCCUGGAGGUAAGCGGAAUAUGUCAUGUAGCGGUGAAAUGCUUAGAUAUGACAUAGAACACCCAUUGCGAAGGCAGCUUACUACGGGACGAUUGACACUGAGGCUCGAAAGCGUGGGGAUCAAACAGG